rnacentral:rRNA from 2 species
GGCGGCGUGCCUAAUACAUGCAAGUCGAGCGAACAGAUGAGAAGCUUGCUUCUCUGAUGUUAGCGGCGGACGGGUGAGUAACACGUGGGUAACCUACCUAUAAGACUGGGAUAACUCCGGGAAACCGGGGCUAAUACCGGAUAAUAUUUUGAACCGCAUGGUUCAAUAGUGAAAGACGGUUUCGGCUGUCACUUAUAGAUGGACCCGCGCCGUAUUAGCUAGUUGGUAAGGUAACGGCUUACCAAGGCGACGAUACGUAGCCGACCUGAGAGGGUGAUCGGCCACACUGGAACUGAGACACGGUCCAGACUCCUACGGGAGGCAGCAGUAGGGAAUCUUCCGCAAUGGGCGAAAGCCUGACGGAGCAACGCCGCGUGAGUGAUGAAGGUCUUCGGAUCGUAAAACUCUGUUGUUAGGGAAGAACAAAUUUGUUAGUAACUGAACAAGUCUUGACGGUACCUAACCAGAAAGCCACGGCUAACUACGUGCCAGCA